UUCUGGUUGAUCCUGCCGGAGGCUACCGCUAUUGGAGUUCGAUUAAGCCAUGCGAGUCGAGAGUCUUAGGGACUCGGCGUACCGCUCAGUAACACGUGGGUAACCUGCCCUAUGCUGGGGAAUAACCUCGGGAAACUGAGAAUAAUGCCCCAUAGUCCACAAUGCCUGGAACGGUUUGUGGAUUAAAGCCCCGGCGGCAUAGGAUGGGCCUGCGGCGUAUCAGGUUGUAGGGGGUGUAACGUACCCUCUAGCCAUCAACGCGUACGGGUGUUGGGAGACAUAGCCCGGAGAUGGAUUCUGAGACACGAAUCCAGACCCUACGGGGUGCAGCAGGCGCGAAAACUUGGCAAUGCGAGAAAUCGUGACCAGGGAACUCCAAGUGGCUGGGGUAAGACCCAGUCUUUUCUUGACUCUUCAAAGGUCUUGGAAUAAGAGGUGGGUAAGGACGGUGCCAGCCGCCGCGGUAAUACCGGCGCCUCAAGUGGUAGUCGAUUUUAUUGGGCCUAAAACGUCCGUAGCCUGUUUGGUACAUUCGUGGGUAAAUCAACCAGCUCAACUGGUUGAAUUCUGCGAGCACGGCCAGACUUGGGACCGGGAGAGGUGUGGGGUACGCUCAGGGUAGGGGUAAAAUCCUGUCAUCCUGAGCGGACCACCUGUUGCGAAGGCGCCACACUAGAACGGAUCCGACGGUCAGGGACGAAGCCUAGGGGCACGAACCGGAUUAGAUACCCGGGUAGUCCUAGGUGUAAACGCUGUGGACUUGGUGUUGGGGAUUCUCCGAGGAUCUUCAGUGCCGAAGCGAAGGUGAUAAGUCCACUGCCUGGGGAGUACGGUCGCAAGGCUGAAACUUAAAGGAAUUGGCGGGGGAGCACCGCAACCUGAGGAUUGUGCGGUUUAAUUGGACUCAACGCCGGGA
rnacentral:rRNA from 1 species